CCUACGGGAGGCAGCAGUGAGGAAUAUUGGUCAAUGGGCGGAAGCCUGAACCAGCCAAGUAGCGUGCGGGAUGAAGGCCCUACGGGUCGUAAACCGCUUUUGCACGGGGAUAACACCCUCCACUUGUGGAGGUCUGCAGGUACCGUGCGAAUAAGGGCCGGCUAAUUCCGUGCCAGCAGCCGCGGUAAUACGGAGGGCCCGAGCGUUAUCCGGAUUCAUUGGGCUUAAAGGGAGCGUAGGCGGGCGGUCAAGUCAGCGGUAAAAUCGCGCGGCUCAACCGCGCCCCGCAGUUGAAACUGGAUGCCUUGAGUUAACAACAGGCAGGCGGAAUUCGUGGUGUAGCGGUGAAAUGCAUAGAUAUCACGAGGAACCCCGAUUGCGAAGGCAGCCUGCCGGGGUGCGACUGACGCUGAGGCUCGAAGGUGCGGGUAUCAAACAGGAUUAGAUACCCCGGUAGUC
rnacentral:rRNA from 1 species